rnacentral:rRNA from 1 species
AUUGAACGCUGGCGGCAUGCUUUACACAUGCAAGUCGAACGGUAACAGGCCUUCGGGUGCUGACGAGUGGCGAACGGGUGAGUAAUGCAUCGGAACGUGCCCAAUCGUGGGGGAUAACGUAGCGAAAGUUACGCUAAUACCGCAUAAGCCCUGAGGGGGAAAGUGGGGGACCGCAAGGUCUCACGCGAAUGGAGCGGCCGAUGUCAGAUUAGCUAGUUGGUGGGGUAAAGGCCCACCAAGGCGACGAUCUGUAGCGGGUCUGAGAGGAUGAUCCGCCACACUGGGACUGAGACACGGCCCAGACUCCUACGGGAGGCAGCAGUGGGGAAUUUUGGACAAUGGGCGCAAGCCUGAUCCAGCCAUGCCGCGUGCGGGACGAAGGCCUCGGUUG